rnacentral:rRNA from 1 species
UGGGGAAUAUUGCGCAAUGGGCGAAAGCCUGACGCAGCGACGCCGCGUGAGGGAUGAAGGUUUUCGGAUCGUAAACCUCUGUCAGAAGGGAAGAAACCGCACUGUGCUAAUCAGCAGUGCCUUGACGGUACCUUCAAAGGAAGCACCGGCUAACUCCGUGCCAGCAGCCGCGGUAAUACGGAGGGUGCAAGCGUUAAUCGGAAUUACUGGGCGUAAAGCGCACGUAGGCUGCUUUGUAAGUCAGGGGUGAAAUCCCACGGCUCAACCGUGGAACUUCCUUUGAUACUGCUUAGCUUGAAUCCGGGAGAGGGUGGCGGAAUUCCAGGUGUAGGAGUGAAAUCCGUAGAUAUCUGGAGGAACAUCAGUGGCGAAGGCGGCCACCUGGACCGGUAUUGACGCUGAGGUGCGAAAGCGUGGGGAGCAAACAGG